AAUGGCGAGGGAGUGAAGCGAUUCUAGUUUCAUAUUUAUUCCUAAUAUUCUUAGAAUAAAUAUGAAACUAGUUUUUCAUAUCGCUGAGGAUGAUUCUGCAAUUGAUGGGAUUCUAUUUGUCUUCAAUUUAAAAACAAGAAAGAAGAGGAUCAUCAUUGUCAAUUUUUUAAUCAGGCAAGUAUAUUGUAUAAUAUGUACAUAAUUUUAAAACUUUAUAUAUUAAACAUUUAAAAAUAUAUAACAAGUUCGACUGCACGUCGUGUCCGAUUGUUCAGAAAUUUCUAUUGAUAAUAUUAUUUAAAUAAGGCAAAACCUCAUAUUUAUUAAAAUUUUACGAACUGAUUGAAACAUACGAAAUAUUUACAUGUUUUUCAAUGACUAAAAUCAUUGGUUUCGAAACAAAGUGAGCUUAUUUAGCUGAUGCCUCUGACUUGGAACUCCUUCUCUUACAACUUUUUCAUUAAACCUUUUACCAUACGUAAACAAUCUUAAUUUUAAGAAUUGAUCGGCAAUACAUUUAACUAGUUAGAGUUUGUGAUUGUCAAAUAGUGUCUCAUUGAUGCAGCUAUCAUGACUUUCUUCAUUGCUCAUGGGAACUUUGUCAGCAAAGUAAUGGCUAACUUCUUUAACCAUUUUCUCUUUCAGCUUCUUCUGUUGGGUUAUACUGUCAUUGGUGUUCUUCGAAACAUAGCAUUUGAAAACUUUAUCUGCAUAUGACACAACUUUGACUGUGAAGUCGGAUGGAACCAGGCGCGGAUCCAGUGGUUUUGUUGACUGAUGCACUAAACGUCGCAUUUGUAGGGGGGUCCGGGGGAAUCCUCCCCCGGGAAAUUUUGAAAUCUAGGACCUCGGAAAUGCGAUUUCCUGCGUUCUGAGGGAGCUUUUCUUCGAAGUUCACACAUCUAAAUCGAAACGUAAUUUGCUGGAUUUUCGGGGAAAAAACGUAAAAAAUCGGCCUUAUAGAGUGAGAACAACAUAAUCAUGUGAGUUUAAAAUAAAUUGAAAACAUUUUUACGCGGAGUUUUAUCAGAUCGAAACUUGGCUAGCCUUAUUUAUUUGAUCCUAUUUGAGUGAGGAUUAUAGAGUAGCAAAGUUGUAGCUAUAAUUUACAAUUUUACAAACAAGUGUACACUACUUACAUGUACACAACGUACUGAUAGAAUAAUUGAAAGCAAAAAACCACAGACAUUUUUUCUGUGUAAAAUAUGGUGCAAAUGACAUGAAAAGCUGAUCAGGGUUGUGUUUCUUAUGCAAAAUAGAUAAGAAUACUUCAAGCAAACUAUUAUAUUAAUUGCCAAUGAUAUCACUUCCUGUAACUUAUCACUUCCUGUUACCAGUUAACACCAAUCAAUAACAAUGUUCCAGGUCAAAUGCCUUCCAGCAGCACCACCAUGACAUAAAUUCCAGUUAAAUUAUUUUAAUAAUCCAGAAUUAAUUCCAGGGCAACUUUGAGUUACUGUAAAUGAAGGCCCUCUCUGGAGCUAGUCACUCUAAUAUUUAUGGAUGCAUUUAUAUCCAACAUUUUGACAAAUGCAGUUUGAAUUUUUAAAUACUGUAAGAUUAUCAAAGUAUUCAAGGGUGCUACUGUAAGUAAUAGUUUUCAUUGUUGCUGAGCAGUUAAUAAUAAAAACAAACAAUUAUUGAAACUAUUUGCAGAAAAUAGAUUAUUCUACUGUAUUUGAAGUCUUGAUAGAUCUACAAUACAUUGACCAAUAUAUCUCCACAGAUUUUGCAUUGAAUCCCAAAUUACAGUACAUUCAGGAGAGUGUCUAGGACUACUGUAUGUAUCCAAAACUGCUGUUUCAAGAUAUUAAGGAUAGACAGGGAGAAGUGCAGUUAUGGACUUGGUAGGUAUCUGAUUGCAUGAGCAGGAUUGACAAGCUUCAGUAACAGUGGCAGU